GGACCCGCACAAGUAGUGGAGCAUGUGGUUUAAUUCGAAGAUACGCGCAGAACCUUACCUGGUCUUGACAUGCCCGUCAUAGUUUUCCGAAAGGAAUUCGUCAGUUCGGCUGGACGGUGCACAGGUGCUGCAUGGCUGUCGUCAGCUCGUGUCGUGAGAUGUUCGUUAAGUCCGGCAACGAGCGCAACCCUCGUUCCUAGUUGCCAGCGGGUAAAGCCGGGGACUCUAGGAAGACAAACCUCGUGUAGAGGUGGGAAGGUGGGGACGACGUCAAGUCAGUAUGGCCCUUACGACCAGGGCUGCACACGUGCUACAAUGCCCAGCACAAUGGGAUGCAACACCGCGAGGUUGAGCAAA
rnacentral:rRNA from 1 species